rnacentral:lncRNA from 1 species
ACGCACCUCUCAUACGUCUCACUCUCUUAUUACUUCAAAUUUAUUUUCUAUAAUAUUUAAUUAACAUUACAUAUUAGUUGAUCUUCCUUUUUCCUUUUAGCUGGAUUUGUGUAUUAUUUAAUUUGCUGAUUCAUGUAUCCUCCCUAAUAGAGGUAGGAUUGUUUAAUCCUGGAGAAACAUUUCACAUUGCUGAAAUAGUUUCUUAGGACAGUUCCUAGCACGACUCAAGCCAUGCCGUG